GCGGGUAUCUUAGUUUUAUUGAAAAAAGUUUCAUUGCAGUAUCACUGGAAGGCUUACAGAGGUUAGAGUCGUAAGGGAAGGUAGGCGGGCUUACGGGGUGCUCUCCUUCUUAAAUAAGCGUAGGUUGUAAGGACUGAAUUUAUCCUAAACAUCUUGUCUUCGCUUCCAGUAAUAGCUCAAGCUUAUGUAUGCACUGAAAGUAGAGAUGGCUGAUGAAGAGUGCCGCCCUAUCGUCGUCACUGCCAUAAAAUUCUUUUUUUGAAUAACAGUGUGUCAUAUAGACACAUUCUGAAGAUCACCUAACGUCGGAUAAUGCGAAGUGUAAAGUAAAUGAUGGAGUCUAUCAAGAAACUACUGCAAAUUUUUUUCUAUGAAAACCGCUGACGGAGCAACGUGAGAUUCAUUUAGCACGUGGUAAAGUACUAAGGAAACAUUUUAUGUCCCCAUGCUCGGUUCUUAUUUCUUCAAUUAAUGACGUUAAAGUCUAUGCUGUCAACACUUCAAAAACUUUACCAGAAUGGAUCACAGAUAAAAAAAAAAGAAAGCUUUUAAAAAGCGAUCCGGAAUUAAGAGGGAGAGUGAAUUUAAUACAAGAUUUUGAGUUUCCAACUGCCGCUACAAAUAUAAAUAUUACAGAAGAUGGAAAUUAUAUCCUAGCCACAGGGGUUUAUAAGCCUCGAAUAAAUUGCUAUGAGACGGAUCAGUUAAGUUUAAAGUUUUCCCGUCAUCUUUCCGCUGAUGUUGUUAAACUUUGCAUGCUAGUUGAAGACUAUAGGAAGUUAGCAUUACUUGGGAGCGAUCGUACCAUUGAAGUUCAUGCUGCUUACGGAAGUCACUAUAAAACAAGAAUUCCUAGAUUUGGGCGAGAUCUUUGCUAUAAUUUUGAAAAUUGUGACUUGUUUUCGGUGGCUUCUGGGCCAGAAAUUUACCGACUUAAUCUUGACGAGGGAAUCUUUAAGCAGCCUUAUAAAGGCUUUU